rnacentral:rRNA from 1 species
AGCCCUAAGCGGGUGGUAAACUCCAUCUAAGGCUAAAUACGACCACGAGACCGAUAGCGAACAAGUACCGUGAGGGAAAGUUGAAAAGCACUUUGAAGAGAGAGUUCAAGAGUACGUGAAACCGUUUAGGGGUAAACCUGAGAAACCCGAAAGGUCGAAGGGAGAAAUUCAUUCGCGUCUCGACGUCGGCGUCGGACGGUCGAGCGACGGGAUGAGCGUUCGCGCGCGUUUCCCGCGCCUUCCGUUCUUCGAACCGAUGGCGAACGCGUGCACUUUUCUCCCGGUAGGACGUCGCGAUCCGUCGGGCGUCGGUCUACGGCUCGCGGUGGAGACCGUGCGUGUCGGGGUUCGCCCCCCGAUACGGACGGACCCGCGUGUCCCGGCCGACUCGCUCGACGGUAUACGAAAGGUUUAAGGCCGCUCGUUCUGUGAGCGUUCGGCUCUCGGCAAGCGCGCCAGACGCGUCGGCGAUCGGACCCGGUGCCGAUUCUGACCUCUGGUGACUGUUGGCCGGGAAGUUCUCGAACAGACCUCUAACCGAUCCGCGACGCUAUAGCUUUGGGUACUUUCAG